AGAAAUAUGUCUGAUAAAAGAGUUACUUUGAUAGAGUAAAAAAUAGAGGUCUAAAUCCUCUUAUUUCUA
rnacentral:tRNA from 1 species